ACUGGGUGUGGUGGUGCACACCUGUAAUCCCAGCAACUCAGGAGGCUGAGGCAGGAGGAUCACAAGUUCAAGGCCAGUCUGAGCAACUUAGUGAGGCCCUACGCAACUUAGUGAGACUCCGUCUCAA
rnacentral:sRNA from 1 species